CGACACGUUUACGGUCGAGGCCGGCGAGUUGCCGCUCGGUUCUUCCGUCAAGUUCAAGUCGUUGACCAAAGUGACGGCUACGAUUGGGUGAUGCACGCGCCGUGUUGUGGACUCGAGCGCACAGGAUUGCGUUUCGGAGGGCAAAAAGGGUUUUUUUUUUAAAUACAACAUGUAGGGCGGAGGAACAAAUUCACAACCAGAUUGGAGGUAUAUACUAAUUACUGCUGAACUAUGUUUGUUUUGACUUUUUUUCUAAAGGGUAUGUGAAUGAGAUGGUUAAAAGUAAAAUGACGGAUAAUGUAAUAUGUAGCUUUACAAAUAAAUAAUAUUGUGUUUUAUCCACGGAAAAAUCUUUUUCUUUUGCUUUGAA